rnacentral:rRNA from 1 species
GGUAUCCUGUCUGAAUAUGGGGGGACCAUCCUCCAAGGCUAAAUACUCCUGACUGACCGAUAGUGAACCAGUACCGUGAGGGAAAGGCGAAAAGAACCCCGGCGAGGGGAGUGAAAAAGAACCUGAAACCGUGUACGUACAAGCAGUGGGAGCACGCUUAGGCGUGUGACUGCGUACCUUUUGUAUAAUGGGUCAGCGACUUAUAUUCUGUAGCAAGGUUAACCGAAUAGGGGAGCCGAAGGGAAACCGAGUCUUAACUGGGCGUUAAGUUGCAGGGUAUAGACCCGAAACCCGGUGAUCUAGCCAUGGGCAGGUUGAAGGUUGGGUAACACUAACUGGAGGACCGAACCGACUAAUGUUGAAAAAUUAGCGGAUGACUUGUGGCUGGGGGUGAAAGGCCAAUCAAACCGGGAGAUAGCUGGUUCUCCCCGAAAGCUAUUUAGGUAGCGCCUCGUGAAUUCAUCUCCGGGGGUAGAGCACUGUUUCGGCAAGGGGGUCAUCCCGACUUACCAACCCGAUGCAAACUGCGAAUACCGGAGAAUGUUAUCACGGGAGACACACGGCGGGUGCUAACGUCCGUCGUGAAGAGGGAAACAACCCAGACCGCCAGCUAAGGUCCCAAAGUCAUGGUUAAGUGGGAAACGAUGUGGGAAGGCCCAGACAGCCAGGAUGUUGGCUUAGAAGCAGCCAUCAUUUAAAGAAAGCGUAAUAGCUCACUGGUCGAGUCGGCCUGCGCGGAAGAUGUAACGGGGCUAAACCAUGCACCGAAGCUGCGGCAGCGACGCUUAUGCGUUGUUGGGUAGGGGAGCGUUCUGUAAGCCUGCGAAGGUGUGCUGUGAGGCAUGCUGGAGGUAUCAGAAGUGCGAAUGCUGACAUAAGUAACGAUAAAGCGGGUGAAAAGCCCGCUCGCCGGAAGACCAAGGGUUCCUGUCCAACGUUAAUCGGGGCAGGGUGAGUCGACCCCUAAGGCGAGGCCGAAAGGCGUAGUCGAUGGGAAACAGGUUAAUAUUCCUGUACUUGGUGUUACUGCGAAGGGGGGACGGAGAAGGCUAUGUUGGCCGGGCGACGGUUGUCCCGGUUUAAGCGUGUAGGCUGGUUUUCCAGGCAAAUCCGGAAAAUCAAGGCUGAGGCGUGAUGACGAGGCACUACGGUGCUGAAGCAACAAAUGCCAUGCUUCCAGGAAAAGCCUCUAAGCAUCAGGUAACAUCAAAUCGUACCCCAAACCGACACAGGUGGUCAGGUAGAGAAUACCAAGGCGCUUGAGAGAACUCGGGUGAAGGAACUAGGCAAAAUGGUGCCGUAACUUCGGGAGAAGGCACGCUGAUAUGUAGGUGAAGCGACUUGCUCGUGGAGCUGAAAUCAGUCGAAGAUACCAGCUGGCUGCAACUGUUUAUUAAAAACACAGCACUGUGCAAACACGAAAGUGGACGUAUACGGUGUGACGCCUGCCCGGUGCCGGAAGGUUAAUUGAUGGGGUCAGCGCAAGCGAAGCUCUUGAUCGAAGCCCCGGUAAACGGCGGCCGUAACUAUAACGGUCCUAAGGUAGCGAAAUUCCUUGUCGGGUAAGUUCCGACCUGCACGAAUGGCGUAAUGAUGGCCAGGCUGUCUCCACCCGAGACUCAGUGAAAUUGAACUCGCUGUGAAGAUGCAGUGUACCCGCGGCAAGACGGAAAGACCCCGUGAACCUUUACUAUAGCUUGACACUGAACAUUGAGCCUUGAUGUGUAGGAUAGGUGGGAGGCUUUGAAGUGUGGACGCCAGUCUGCAUGGAGCCGACCUUGAAAUACCACCCUUUAAUGUUUGAUGUUCUAACGUUGACCCGUAAUCCGGGUUGCGGACAGUGUCUGGUGGGUAGUUUGACUGGGGCGGUCUCCUCCUAAAGAGUAACGGAGGAGCACGAAGGUUGGCUAAUCCUGGUCGGACAUCAGGAGGUUAGUGCAAUGGCAUAAGCCAGCUUGACUGCGAGCGUGACGGCGCGAGCAGGUGCGAAAGCAGGUCAUAGUGAUCCGGUGGUUCUGAAUGGAAGGGCCAUCGCUCAACGGAUAAAAGGUACUCCGGGGAUAACAGGCUGAUACCGCCCAAGAGUUCAUAUCGACGGCGGUGUUUGGCACCUCGAUGUCGGCUCAUCACAUCCUGGGGCUGAAGUAGGUCCCAAGGGUAUGGCUGUUCGCCAUUUAAAGUGGUACGCGAGCUGGGUUUAGAACGUCGUGAGACAGUUCGGUCCCUAUCUGCCGUGGGCGCUGGAGAACUGAGGGGGGCUGCUCCUAGUACGAGAGGACCGGAGUGGACGCAUCACUGGUGUUCGGGUUGUCAUGCCAAUGGCACUGCCCGGUAGCUAAAUGCGGAAGAGAUAAGUGCUGAAAGCAUCUAAGCACGAAACUUGCCCCGAGAUGAGUUCUCCCUGACUCCUUGAGAGUCCUGAAGGAACGUUGAAGACGACGACGUUGAUAGGCCGGGUGUGUAAGCGCAGCGAUGCGUUGAGCUAACCGGUACUAAUGAACCGUGAGGCUUAACC